AUUGAACGCUGGCGGCAUGCUUUACACAUGCAAGUCGAACGGUAACAGGGAGCUUGCUCCGCUGACGAGUGGCGAACGGGUGAGUAAUAUAUCGGAACGUACCCAAGAGUGGGGGAUAACGUAGCGAAAGUUACGCUAAUACCGCAUACGAUCUAUGGAUGAAAGCAGGGGACCGCAAGGCCUUGUGCUCCUGGAGCGGCCGAUAUCUGAUUAGCUAGUUGGUAGGGUAAAGGCCUACCAAGGCAUCGAUCAGUAGCUGGUCUGAGAGGACGACCAGCCACACUGGAACUGAGACACGGUCCAGACUCCUACGGGAGGCAGCAGUGGGGAAUUUUGGACAAUGGGCGCAAGCCUGAUCCAGCAAUGCCGCGUGAGUGAAGAAGGCCUUCGGGUUGUAAAGCUCUUUUGUCAGGGAAGAAACGGGUGCGGCUAAUAUCCGCAUCUAAUGACGGUA
rnacentral:rRNA from 1 species